CUGAUUCCAAGCCACUGUCAACUGCUCCUCACUUGCUGAAGACAUUAGUAAGCUGCUCAAAACCUUAUGUUUCUAGAGAGGAGCUGCUCCAUGCAAAGCCAUCGGAAGGGAGCCAGAGGCUGUCCUGAACACUCAGCGCUCUCUACCCAUGCAUGCCCAGAGUGAAACAGGAAGGAGACCAUAUCUAAGCUGUCUCCAGAAACACAAGCCUCUGUGGCUAGAUCCUUACGUGGGAUUCUGCCAGGAGAGCAUUCCAGUCAGUGUGGUCAUCCAAACAUCUCACCCAGCCUCAUGGAGCACCACACAAUCUGAGUUUCAGCUGGAAAGACAAGCUCCCCGGCGGCUUUCCCAGCACAGCCCAUGACGCACACCGGCUCUCCAGCACAGGUUUAAGAGGGUCGCUGGAGGACAGAGUCCCCACAAGAACAUUCUCCAACCAAAUCAGGAAA